rnacentral:rRNA from 1 species
GACGAACGCUGGCGGCGUGCUUAACACAUGCAAGUCGAACGGAAAGGCCCUGCUUUUGUGGGGUGCUCGAGUGGCGAACGGGUGAGUAACACGUGAGUAACCUGCCCUUGACUUUGGGAUAACUUCAGGAAACUGGGGCUAAUACCGGAUAGGAGCUCCUGCUGCAUGGUGGGGGUGGGAAAGUUUCGGCGGUUGGGGAUGGACUCGCGGCUUAUCAGCUUGUUGGUGGGGUAGUGGCUUACCAAGGCUUUGACGGGUAGCCGGCCUGAGAGGGUGACCGGCCACAUUGGGCCUGAGAUACGGCCCAGACUCCUACGGGAGGCAGCAGUGGGGAAUAUUGCACAAUGGGCGGAAGCCUGAUGCAGCAACGCCGCGUGCGGGAUGACGGCCUUCGGGUUGUAAACCGCUUUCGCCUGUGACGAAGCGUGAGUGACGGUAAUGGGUAAAGAAGCACCGGCUAACUACGUG